rnacentral:rRNA from 1 species
GUAGGUGGCAAGCGUUGUCCGGAAUUAUUGGGCGUAAAGCGCGCGCAGGCGGUUCUUUAAGUCUGAUGUGAAAGCCCACGGGCUCAACCGUGGAAGGUCAUUGGAAACUGGAGAACUUGAGUACAGAAGAGGAAAGCGGAAUUCCACGUGUAGCGGUGAAAUGCGUAGAGAUGUGGAGGAACACCAGUGGCGAAGGCGGCUUUCUGGUCUGUAACUGACGCUGAGGCGCGAAAGCGUGGGGAGCAAACAGGAUUAGAUACCCUGGUAGUCCACGCCGUAAACGAUGAGUGCUAAGUGUUAGGGGGUUUCCGCCCCUUAGUGCUGCAGCUAACGCAUUAAGCACUCCGCCUGGGGAGUACGGCCGCAAGGCUG